UUGCCACGAUCCCUAGCCUUUCCCGCUGAAGAAGACUCUAAAAUAAAAACAACCAACACUUAUUUAAGCAUUUAGCAACCGCCGAAACUCUAUCUCGUUGGCUGCGGUGGCGGAGGAGGACGACAUGAAAGGCUCUUCGUUUAGAAUUUCAGUGGAUUGAGUGAAGAGAGAAGAAAAGAUGGUAAUUGAUUUUUCUUUUUUUUUUUUCUUUUCUGUUUGUAAUCGGGCCAAAUGGACUGGGUGUGGUGGGUUGAGUAGAGUAAUCUUUUAUUUUUGGUUAGAUUGGGCUUUAUAUAUAGAUAUUAGUAGAUAUUUUUUUAAGUUUUAGGAUAAAUGGGA
rnacentral:lncRNA from 1 species